UCUGUGUCUGUCUCCAAAAAUCCUGCUACAGAGAUCUUUGCAAAUAUCUUUGCUUGUUGUGUAUUCAUAGAAGAGCAAGUCACCUGCUCACAGACUGACCUCUGGAAAGCAUGGUGAUGAGAACACGGCAAGUUAGCUGGAAAGGAAUGACAGACUUCACUUCUUUGGGGAUAAGAAACCAUGCAUAGUACUGGACAAAGCCGAUUUUGCAGCAAGACAGAGAAGGAAUGAUAACUCAGAAGAUGGUGGCAGAAGAUAUCAAGGAGCCAUGGAAAAGAACAGCGAGCAGCAGAGUGCACAGGAUCGAGGCUUUAAUUUUCAAAGUGCUGCAUUUGUCCCACAAAACGGCAACAAUCCAGACUGCAGGACAGAGACUUGAAAUCUAGCUUGAUCUUCAGAGAGAAGAACAAAGAUGAACAUAGAUGCACCUUUGAAUCUCAUCAGGCUGCUCAUGGGUCUGACCCUACUCCACAAGGCAGCAUUAACAGUAUUGCAGCAGACAUGUCUGUGGAAGAAUCCUCCGAGAAAACAAGUCUUGCAGCUCAUGUGCUUGCUGGCAGGCAGUGGCCUGGAGAGCUGCAGUGCUGCCUCCAGCUGGAGCUACGGAUCUGUGUGUCAGCUCAGGCAAGGCAUGUCUUUUCCUUAUGAUCUUUCUCCCUUAGUUUUGGGGCUAGCAAUGCUAAAGUUUGAAACAGCAGAAUAAAACAUCAACACACAAUGCUGUUAUACUGUUAUACACUGUUUCCCUUAGUGGUUGUAUGCUGCUGACUUUUUAAGUUAUGCCUCCAAUG